rnacentral:rRNA from 1 species
CCUACGGGGGGCAGCAGUGAGGAAUAUUGGUCAAUGGACGAGAGUCUGAACCAGCCACGUAGCGUGAAGGAUGACUGCCCUAUGGGUUGUAAACUUCUUUUAUAUGGGAAUAAAAUGUUCCACGUGUGGGAUUUUGUAUGUACCAUAUGAAUAAGGAUCGGCUAACUCCGUGCCAGCAGCCGCGGUAAUACGGAGGAUCCGAGCGUUAUCCGGAUUUAUUGGGUUUAAAGGGAGCAUAGGUGGAUUGUUAAGUCAGUUGUGAAAGUUUGCGGCUCAACCGUAAAAUUGCAGUUGAAACUGGCAGUCUGGAGUGCAGUAGAGGUGGGCGGAAUGCGUGGUGUAGCGGUGAAAUGCUUAGAUAUCACGAAGAACUCCGAUUGCGAAGGCAGCUCACUGGACUGCAACUGACACUGAGGCUCGAAAGUGUGGGUAUCAAACAGGAUUAGAUACCCUUGUAGUC